UACGGAGGGGACUAGCGUUGUUCGGAAUUACUGGGCGUAAAGCGCACGUAGGCGGAUUUGUAAGUCAGGGGUGAAAUCCCGGGGCUCAACCUCGGAACUGCCUUUGAUACUGCAAAUCUCGAGUCCGGAAGAGGUGAGUGGAAUUCCUAGUGUAGCGGUGAAAUGCGCAGAUAUCAGGAAGAACACCAAUGGCGAAGGCAGCUCUCUGGGACGGUACUGACGCUGAGACGCGAAAGCGUGGGGAGCGAACAGG
rnacentral:rRNA from 1 species